UCCCCCGCCAAAAAACCUAAACAUAGAUCCUCAAUACCCAAACGGCAGCCACCCUAUCUCCUCCGCCUCUCUGCCGCGAAACAACCACUAUAAGCCACUGGAGAAUUCCCUCCCACGCUCUUGGUCCCCUACUCCUCUACUCUUUCCUCCACGUGGCAUGACAAGUUACAAACCCGAAUAUUCGCUCAUUCUCAUCUCUCUUCUCACGUGUUUAGAGUCUCUAGAAGGCAUAUGUUGGAUGAAUGGGGAGCAUAGGAUCCAUUUCAAUUGAUCAAAACCUUCAUUAAUCAAGUUUUUGCCUGAUAUAUAUAGGAAUUUUGGAAGAAGAAAAGUGUGGUUCUGGAGACAUAUUUUUGGAGUUUUAUUGAAAGGUAAAGGAAAACUAGGGUUUCAAAAACAAUCUUCAGUCUUGCUCUCAUAUUUAAGUUCAUAAAGACUCCAGAAAAAAAAUACAUAUAUAUAUCUCUUUAUUUUUCUAUUUCUUCUUUGAAUCUCGAGUUAGAGUUGAAUUGAAGUUUGAGUUUGAUUUCGUGUUUGGAUUUGAAAUAACGGUGUCGAUUAGAAUUCUAGUCUGAGGUUUUUCUGUCUGUUUCAUUUGCUUGUUUCUUCGUUGGAAUUUUGGGAAUUGAAGCCGAGCUUCCGUUGAAUCAUCUAUUGUUAUUUACAGAGAAGAUUGACUUUACAGGUUCAUUUCCGCAUCUCUCUUCUUUAUUCGAAUUUGUUUGGAGUGGAUUGAGUAGGAGUCCUUAAAAAUGGAUUAAAUAAGCAGUGAUUUCGAAGAUUGUGUUGAACUUUCCUUUGAUUAGAGUUUACGUUUUGUGUCGAUUGUGUGUUCAAUGAAUUCUUCUGGUGAAACCUCCUAGAUGAUAAAGGAGAAUGAACUGUUUAGAUCCCUAUUUGGUUCAGUCAGAUUAAUAUUGGAGUGUUAGAACCAAUUGCGAUGAAACUGUGUAAUCAACAUGUCAAUCGGAAGCUGAUCUGUCACUAUUUUUGCUUAUGAUUAAGUAGUUGAAGGCCUUUAGCCAUAAGAGUAGCAUUUUCUUUGAUUUUAUCUCUGUUUAAGGUUUAGAGUUCUGAGUAUGGAUUUUUCAUCAUACUCUUUGAAACAUGCUUACAAAUAAAAUCAUGCUUUCGUGGAAAUAUGUGUAAAUGUCUCCUUGUGGCUUCAUUUUAUUCGAUCAGAUUUCAUGUUGGAUUUCCAUGAUUUUCUUGGAUUGAAUGAUUUUCAUUCUCCCAUUGUCAGUGAUUCAUUGGUGUUAUUGAGUCAAGCUUUAAGUUUAAGCUAGCUUGUUUGCAUUUUGUGUUCCAUGUCUCUUUAUACUGCAAAUGUUAGUUUUGUUAUGCUCUCCUAGCCACUAUUGGAUAAUAUGGAUUGAUAUCUCUUGGAAAUGUUUGUCAAGCAUGUCAUUAGUAUAAUAAAUGCAAAUUGAUUGAGGUUAGUCAUUCAUGUCAUGAAUAUUGUUUGACUAAUGAGAAGAAGUAUGUAAGUAUGCAUGUUUUGGUGUCCCACGUUGAUUCAUUGUUUCCAUCUUUGGUGGGAGUGUCCUAAUUGAAAAUAUAAUUCAAUCGUCAGCUAAGAGCUCCAGCUCUCAUGUCGAAAAAUGAAAUUGGUGGCCAGCAUUCCUCGAGUGUUUGUCUGACUUUGAAUGCCAGAACCAUUAGCCAACUUUGUGAAGAAAUGAUGUUCAAAUGUUUCUGUUGUGAAAGACCGUACAUGUAUAAUUCUUGAUGUAUUUGAACGUUGUAUAUGGUUACACGUUUGGGAUGUUCCAUUGUGCUUUGUCUUGAAUGCUUGAAUGGGCCGUGUGGAUUGGUAAAGGCCUAGCCCAUUAUUGAUUUAAUCACUCACAUGUUUAGGAAUUGGGCUAGGUCGAAUGCUUGAAACAAAAGCUUAAAAGGGAAUGAGCUUGAAAUUUAGUAAAAGUAUUCUAUUAUCACGAGCCUUUGAACACAAUCAUCGAAUUAGG
rnacentral:lncRNA from 1 species